UACGUAGGGUGCAAGCGUUGUCCGGAAUUAUUGGGCGUAAAGAGCUCGUAGGCGGUCUGUCGCGUCGGAUGUGAAAACCCAGGGCUCAACCCUGGGCCUGCAUUCGAUACGGGCAGACUAGAGUUCGGUAGGGGAGACUGGAAUUCCUGGUGUAGCAGUGAAAUGCGCAGAUAUCAGGAGGAACACCGGUGGCGAAGGCGGGUCUCUGGGCCGAUACUGACGCUGAGGAGCGAAAGCGUGGGGAGCGAACAGG
rnacentral:rRNA from 1 species